AUUUCUUUAGUCGAUAUGAAUUGUGACCUGGAUGUCGCGAAUAUAUCGAGUCUAGCCAACAAUGACACUAUGACUUUGAUUUGAUUGAUUCUUAACAAAUUAGUAAUUUUUUAAAUUUUUGAGGGCCGUUCUCUCUGUAUAAGAAAUCACUAUCACAUACGCCUGUGCAUUGCAUCGGGAGAGAUAAUUUAA
rnacentral:rRNA from 1 species